AAACACACUGGUCUCUCAAAGGGCAGCUCGUAUGCUACACCAUGUAUCUCUGGGGACACAACAAUAGGGAGUGCGGGUAUAACCCCCUUGAAGCUGCUAAAUAGCCGCUCAAAAGAGUGGCCUGUGUGGAUAUUGUACAGAUUGAAUCUCGCAGAUCUUGUACUUUAGAGCGUAUAAUACAAUAGUUCUGCUAGAAGUAACAUACAUAGUAUCUGGCUGAGUGGAAACGGAUCUAACUACCGUGGGGCUGGAGCCUGCGAAGGCAACUAUGUUGCUAAAAUCUAGUUACCACAGGAAAAUUAAGAAUACACAUCGGCACUCACCC